GGGGGGGGGGGGGGGGGGGCGGGGCGGGGGGGGGGCGGGGGGCGGCACGGGGGCUGGGACCGGGUGGCGAGUGGCGGACGGGGGAGGAAUACAUGGGAACAUGUCCUGUAGGGGGGGCGCGCCCGGCGGAAGCCGGAUUACUACCGCAUCCGAGCCAGGGAUGACAGCGGGUGCGCUUCGGGCCGCGCUCUCGCGUGGUGGCCGCUGGCUGAUUAGCUAGUUGGUGGGGUAAAGGCCUACCAAGGCGACGAUCAUGAGCUGGUCUGAGAGGACGACCAGCCACAUUGGGACUGAGACACGGCCCAGACUCCUACGGGAGGCAGCAGUGGGGAAUUUUGGACAAUGGGCGAAAGCCUGAUCCAGCAAUGCCGCGUGUGUGAAGAAGGCCUUCGGGUUGUAAAGCACUUUUGUCCGGAAAGAAAUCCUUGACUCUAAUACAGUCGGGGGAUGACGGUACCGGAAGAAUAAGCACCGGCUAACUACGUG
rnacentral:rRNA from 1 species